AGUAUAAAACAAAGUGGCUGUGUGAGUGAGAUACACAAAACCUUUGGUGCCAGAGAUACCUGUGUUUACAGUAUAAAAGUGCUUCCUCACAGUCAAGCAGAACUCGUCCAGCUGUACGGUUGGUGUCUUCGUCUGUCCUUCAGACACGUUUGUUCCUUGGACACUAUUUGUCUUUUUACAAAACAAUAAUAAAAUAAAGGAAAAGAAAAACAAACCAGCAAAGAGUUGCAAAAUAAAACAAGAAAACUAUCAAGGACUGGAUUAUUUUCAACUCAAGUGUUAGCUAGCUGUCUAGCUUUGUAAGAGCAACACACCGUGAGGGCAGCAUACUGGUGUUUCAUGGGUUCUUCAUGUCAAGCACAUUGAAUUGCCUUGUUGCUGAAAUGUGGUAUGCAAAUAAACUUGACUUGCCAUUUAUUUAAACCACUUUCAAAUGUAUUAUGUUUGAGGAGUAAUAUUUAUUGCAUGUCAGAAUCAUCUAAGAGUAGUCAUUCAAAUUUAUAUUAAAUUAGGAAAUUCCCUCAUCUUUCCACUCUAAUCAUUUCUGUCUUCUACAGCUGAACUAACAAACCUUUAUCUCUGAACUCUACACUAAGAAAGAACUGGCUGAGGAAAUUUAGUGGAGGAUGCUUCGAUAUCAAUAUGAAUCCAGACAACUAACUGUGGAAAUGAACAACAACCCAGGAAGAAGAGAAAAUGGCAACAUACACAUUGACAACAUACACGUUGACAACAUACACGUUGACAACAGACACGAUGGCAACAGACAUGAUGGCAAUGGAGGACAAGGCUUUUGGCCAAGAUCAGAAACAUUUCUUGGCAUUAUUGGGGUUAUUGCAGUUGUAGGUUUAACUUUGCUAAAAUUGAGGACAAUGUUUUAGUAUCUGUACUUCCAGCUGUUCUGACAUCAAAUACUUUUUCAGCUCUAUAUGAAGCAAACUUAGAGAUGUUACUGAUGUGAUAAUUGCACCGUUGUUUAUGCCACUUACAAUAUCAGUGUAGUGAAGGAAUAGCAGUGACCUCUUAUGACUUAUUCUAAUCAUGUUAUGACUUAUUCCUUCACUUUUUAUUAUUCACUUCUCUUUUAACAAUAUAAAUAGGUUUGUUCUGUUUUCAUUGGAUUAUCUUUUAGCUUUGUAUUCAUAAUCUGAGAAUAAUUGUGCAGGGUGAACAGAACUUUUCUUUUGAAGGUCCAGCAGUGGAAGAAUCAUGGAGUGCACUAUCCACCUAAUACGGAGAGAAUCGUUGGAGUACUGGAGAAUGUUGUUUUGUUGUAUUCAGAAAUCUCACCCCAGUCUAAUGAUAAGACAUUAUCAUUAGAUAAUUUAGCUGAAUUUUGUUUAUUCAGCCAAAUGUCUUUGAUGUUAGAAGGGGAGGAACUUUGCGCCACCAUAUACACUGUAAAUCUUGUAAAUAAAUGAGAAAAUCUGCAUUUUGCAAGUA